rnacentral:rRNA from 1 species
GAUGAACGCUGGCGGCGUGCCUAAUACAUGCAAGUCGAGCGAACAGACGAGGAGCUUGCUCCUCUGACGUUAGCGGCGGACGGGAGAGUAACACGUGGAUAACCUACCUAUAAUACUGGUAUAACUUCGGGAAACGGGCGCUAAUCCCGGAUAAGAUAUUGAAGCGCAUGGGUCAAUAGUGAAAGACGGUUUUGCGGUCACUUCUAGCUGGAUCCACGCCGCAUUAGCUAGUUGGUAGGGUAACGGCUUACCAAGGCAACGAUGCGUAGCCGAACUGAGAGAGUGAUCGGCCACAUUGGAGCUGAAACACGGACCAGACGCCUACGGGAGGCAGCAGUCGGGUAUCUUCCGCAGUGGGCGAGAGCCUGACGCAGCGACGCCGCGUGAGUGAUGAAGGUCUUCGGAUCGGGAAGAUGUGUUAUUAGGGAAGAACAGCUGUGUAAGUUACUAUGCACGUCUUGACGGUAACUAGUCAGAAAGCCACGGCUAACUACGUG